CCGGAGGUAGCAUCCCUGGACAAAGACAGCGAGGGCCGAGGACGGCGGCCAGCGCAGCGUCCUCAGGCCGCGGCGCAGGGCUGCAGGGCCGCAGGAAAGCAGGGCCGCAGGGCCGUAGGCACAGCGCGGCUUCCAGCCCCUCGCCGCCAUGGCUUCGGACGACCUCGGCCGAUGAAAUGAAGCGGGCCUGCGCGUGCUGCCGCCCGCCGUCGCCUCCACCAAGCGGCCAGAACGAAGGGCGAUGACAGUGACGGACAGCGGUGGGCCUGGUGGGCCUGGUGGG